rnacentral:rRNA from 1 species
AUUGAACGCUGGCGGCAGGCCUAACACAUGCAAGUCGAACGGUAACAGGAAGACGCUUGCUUCUUUGCUGACGAGUGGCGGACGGGUGAGUAAUGUCUGGGAAACUGCCUGAUGGAGGGGGAUAACUACUGGAAACGGUAGCUAAUACCGCAUAACGUCGCAAGACCAAAGAGGGGGACCUUCGGGCCUCUUGCCAUCGGAUGUGCCCAGAUGGGAUUAGCUAGUAGGUGGGGUAACGGCUCACCUAGGCGACGAUCCCUAGCUGGUCUGAGAGGAUGACCAGCCACACUGGAACUGAGAAGCGGUCCAGCAUCCUACGGGAGGCAGCAGUGGGGAAUAUUGCACAAUGGGCGCAAGCCUGAUGCAGCCAUGCCGCGUGUAUGAAGAAGGCCUUCGGGUUGUAAAGUACUUUAAGCGGGGAGGAAGGGAGUAAAGUUAAUACCUUUGAUCAUUGACGUUACCCGCAGAAGAAGCACCGGCUAACUCCGU